rnacentral:rRNA from 1 species
AGCGCCACGAGUGGCAACCGCGUUUAUUGGGCCUAAAGCGUCCGUAGCCGGCCUUGUAAAUCUUUUGUGAAAUUGUUUGGCUUAACUAAACAACGUGCAAGAGACACUGCAAGGCUCGAGACCGGGAGGAGUCAGAAGUAUUCCAGGGGGAGCGGUAAAAUGUUAUAAUCCCUGGAGGACUACCUGUGGCGAAGGCGUCUGACCAGAACGGAUCUGACGGUGAGGGACGAAAGCCAGGGGAGCAAACC